GCAACUCUGAACAAGCGAACACCCGUGACUGUGUGCCGGGGUUGUUUGAUAUGUUCAUAGAGUUACGGCGGUCAUGGCGGAGGGGAAACGCCCGGAUACAUUCCGAACCCGGAAGCUAAGCCCUCCAGCGCCGAUGGUACUGCACUCGUGAGGGUGUGGGAGAGUAGGACGCCGCCGGAC
rnacentral:rRNA from 1 species